rnacentral:rRNA from 1 species
CCUACGGGAGGCAGCAGUGGGGAAUAUUGCACAAUGGGGGAAACCCUGAUGCAGCGACGCCGCGUGAGUGAAGAAGUAUUUCGGUAUGUAAAGCUCUAUCAGCAGGGAAGAAAUAGCGACCUUUGGGUCGCCAGCCGGUACCUGAUUAAGAAGCCCCGGCUAACUACGUGCCAGCAGCCGCGGUAAUACGUAGGGGGCAAGCGUUAUCCGGAUUUACUGGGUGUAAAGGGAGCGUAGCCGGCAGCGCAAGUCUGAAGUGAAAUACCGGGGCUUAACCCCGGGACGGCUGUGGAAACUGAGCAGCUAGAGUGGAGGAGAGGUAAGUGGAAUGCCUAGUGUAGCGGUGAAAUGCGUAGAUAUUAGGAGGAACACCAGUGGCGAAGGCGGCUUACUGGACUGUAACUGACGUUGAGGCUCGAAAGCGUGGGGAGCAAACAGGAUUAGAUACCCUGGUAGUC